CCUACGGGAGGCAGCAGUGAGGAAUAUUGGUCAAUGGACGCAAGUCUGAACGAGCCAUGCCGCGUGCAGGAAGACGGCUCUAUGAGUUGUAAACUGCUUUUGUACGAGGGUAAAUCCCGAUACGUGUAUCGGGUUGAAAGUAUCGUACGAAUAAGGAUCGGCUAACCCCGUGCCAACAGCCGCGGUAAUACGGAGGAUUCAAGCGUUGUCCGGAUUUAUUGGGUUUAAAGGGUGCAUAGGCGGUUCGAUAAGUUAGAGGUGAAAGCCCGGGGCUCAACUCCGGCACUGCCUCUGAUACUGUCGGGCUAGAGUUUAGUUGCGGUAGGCGGAAUGUAUGGUGUAGCGGUGAAAUGCAUAGAGAUCAUACAGAACACCGAUUGCGAAGGCAGCUUACCAAACUACGACUGACGUUGAGGCACGAAAGCGCGGGGAGCAAACAGGAUUAGAUACCCCAGUAGUC
rnacentral:rRNA from 1 species